rnacentral:rRNA from 1 species
UACGUAGGGUGCAAGCGUUAAUCGGAAUUACUGGGCGUAAAGCGUGCGCAGGCGGUCCGUUAAGACAGAUGUGAAAUCCCCGGGCUUAACCUGGGAACUGCAUUUGUGACUGGCGGACUCGAGUAUGGCAGAGGGGGGGUAGAAUUCCACGUGUAGCAGUGAAAUGCGUAGAGAUGUGGGAGGAAUACCCGAUGGCGAAGGCAGCCCCCUGGGCCAAUACUGACGCUCAUG